GACGAACGCUGGCGGCGUGCUUAACACAUGCAAGUCGAACGGAAAGGCCCUGCUUUUGUGGGGUGCUCGAGUGGCGAACGGGUGAGUAACACGUGAGUAACCUGCCCUUGUCUUUGGGAUAACUUCAGGAAACUGGGGCUAAUACCGGAUAGGAGCUCCUGCUGCAUGGUGGGGGUUGGAAAGUUUCGGCUGUUGGGGAUGGACUCGCGGCUUAUCAGCUUGUUGGUGGGGUAGUGGCUUACCAAGGCUUUGACGGGUAGCCGGCCUGAGAGGGUGACCGGCCACAUGGGGACUGAGAGACGGCGCAGACUCCUACGGGAGGCAGCAGUCGGGAAUAUUGCACAAUGGGCGGAAGCCUGAUGCAGCAACGCCGCGUGCGGGAUGACGGCCUGCGGGUUGUAAACCGCUUUCGCCUGUGACGAAGCGUGAGUGACGGUAAUGGGUAAAGAAGCACCGGCUAACUACGUG
rnacentral:rRNA from 1 species